UACGUAGGGUGCAAGCGUUAAUCGGAAUUACUGGGCGUAAAGCGCACGCAGGCGGCCUGGCAAGUCGGAUGUGAAAUCCGCGGGCUCAACCUGGGAACUGCAUUCGAAACUGGCAGGCUAGAGUCUUGUAGAGGGGGGUAGAAUUCCAGGUGUAGCGGUGAAAUGCGUAGAGAUCUGGAGGAAUACCGGUGGCGAAGGCGGCCCCCUGGACAAAGACUGACGCUCAGGUGCGAAGACGUGGGGAGCAAGCAGG
rnacentral:misc_RNA from 1 species